GCACUGCUGAGGAGUCCCAAAAUAGGACGAAACAGUCGUCCAGUGC
rnacentral:hammerhead_ribozyme from 1 species